rnacentral:rRNA from 1 species
AGGGAGCGAGCGUUGUCCGGAAUUACUGGGUGUAAAGGGAGCGUAGACGGCCACGCAAGUCUGAAGUGAAAUGCCAGUGCUCAACACUGGAACUGCUUUGGAAACUGUGAGGCUGGAGUGCAGGAGAGGUAAGUGGAAUUCCUAGUGUAGCGGUGAAAUGCGUAGAUAUUAGGAGGAACACCAGUGGCGAAGGCGGCUUACUGGACUGUAACCGACGUUGAGGCUCGAAGGCGUGGGGAGCAA